CCCAUGAUGUUUACUAGAGGAGUUCGUCGAUCAUAUUUUGUUAAAGUGUGGGCGAGCCAUUAGGGUUUGGAUGCUUGUUGGGGAUGUAUUAAAUCUACGACAGUUGAACUUUCUAAUCGAGACCUUCCUAGUUCUGAUUCGAGAUGGUGCAUAGAGGCAGCCAUCAAGAACGACCACUAUCCUAGGGAUAUACUUGCAUAUAAGAUCUGGCUGACAAUGAACAUAU
rnacentral:lncRNA from 1 species